AUUGAACGCUGGCGGCAUGCCUUACACAUGCAAGUCGAACGGCAGCACGGGAGCAAUCCUGGUGGCGAGUGGCGAACGGGUGAGUAAUAUAUCGGAACGUGCCCGGUCGUGGGGGAUAACGUAGCGAAAGCUACGCUAAUACCGCAUACGAUCUAUGGAUGAAAGCGGGGGAUCGCAAGACCUCGCGCGAUUGGAGCGGCCGAUAUCAGAUUAGGUAGUUGGUGAGGUAAAGGCUCACCAAGCCGACGAUCUGUAGCUGGUCUGAGAGGACGACCAGCCACACUGGGACUGAGACACGGCCCAGACUCCUACGGGAGGCAGCAGUGGGGAAUUUUGGACAAUGGACGCAAGUCUGAUCCAGCCAUUCCGCGUGCAGGAUGAAGGCCCUCGGGUUGUAAACUGCUUUUGUACGGAACGAAAAGGUUUGUCUUAAUACGAUGAGCUCAUGACGGUACCGUAAGAAUAAGCACCGGCUAACUACGUG
rnacentral:rRNA from 1 species